GGGGUUCAGAAUAAAAUCAUGGUUAGAGCAUGGUGCUGACAACGCCAAGGUUGCAGGUUUGAUCCCUGUAAGGGAUA